CACUCAAUUCUUUGUUGCAAACGUUAAUAAAAUCAGAGGGAGAAAAGCUUGUUGCCAUUAUUAUGAUCAGGAAUUUUCAUACCCACGCAAAUGACGCAGUCUACGUGGGUGUUUUGCUUGCAUAGCUAUUUCAGAUGGAGAAGAGUCAGCACUCUUGUAAUAAUGUUUCAUUUGAAUUUCUAUUUCAGAGAGUGAUUUGAUACAUUUCACCUUUCAAUUUCCAUAGUCCGUGGCUCCGUGCUACAACACACACGCUGUCACUGAUAACUUGUUAUAUUCAAGAUAUUCAAGAGCUGAAGUCCCACACUCCAAUAGAACAUGUUGAUUAUGCAGCACUGUCUGAAAUAGGAACUGAAUUGGCACAAAGGUGUGACAGAUGAAAAGUCCUAUUCUGAAAACAUUCGUAACGUCCUUAAAAUAGAGUCCAAGAUAGAAGGAGGUUGCCCUGUUUUGUUAGACAAGGAGCAGGCAUUAGUUAGAAAGGGUAUUCUCUGUAUCUGGAGACAGGAUGAUAAACUGCUCACUUUCUCCAGAAAGACAAGAAGGAGGCAGAACUAUUGCUUCCUGUUUUCAAAGCAUUUCCUAGUGACACAGAGAGUAGAGAAGAAAGGAGAAGAGGGAUACCGUCUGUUGAAAGAGAAUGGGUUACUGUCACUCGCUAAAUGUAGGAUACAUGAAUAUGCCCUCCCUGAGUAUCCAGAGUUACGUUUUCUCAGUUUUGGUCUUGAGAUUGAUGAUGGUUCACAGAGUCAGUCCAAACAGAAGUUGAUAUUUAUUGCAAUGUCAGUGGCAGAGAAGGCACAGUGGAUAGCUGAUAUUGC
rnacentral:lncRNA from 1 species